rnacentral:rRNA from 1 species
GAGGUGGGGAGUAACUAGACCGAAAGGUAGCUAAUACCGCAUACGUCUCCGACGGGGCGAUCCCUUGGCGAUAAAGGAGCAAUCCGCUCGAUGACGGGACCGCGUCCCAUUAGCUAGAUGGUGGGGUAACGGCCUACCAUGGCACCGAUGGGUAGCUGGUUUGAGAGAGCGACCAGCCACACUGGGACUGAGAAACGGCCCAG